AUGAACAGAACAAAAACAAAAAGAAUAGAAGUGAUUAGAUUGGAAGUUUGGAAAGUUGUAAAAUAAAUAUUUAAAAUUUGUGCGUUUCUGCAAUAUUAAUAGCAGUAGUACUGGAAGUGGUAGAAUUAGUGCCAUUUGAUUAAUUACACGGUUAUACCGGAAGGCAAGGGCCAAUUAUAGGAUAACAAUUCAAAUUAAACUGCCAAUAGUUAUCUGGCUAGUGUUUUGAAACUAAAUAAUUGGAGCACUCGUUGUAGGAGGUAAAGCGGAGAAACUAUCUUUUUUGAGCUGCUGAAAUUUGCUGCUACAGAACGGUAGUGUAUUCCCUACAAUCCGAACAGUGUCUGUGGAACGAAGUGGAUCGGAAUACAAAACCACGAAAGAAAAACACAAGCUUAAUAGUUUAACUUUUAUUAGCGACCGUUUCAUCUGAGAAUUAAACUUCGAAUGAUAAUGAAAGAACACAUGUUUUCACACAUUUUGUUAGUAACGGUAAGAUGUUGCUGCGCAGUCAUGAAUAACGAGGGGCGCACUGAUAAUUUUGAAAGUGCCUACAAAAUUCUGUCUUAGAUUCUCUUUCGCCGUCCAUCGCCAAUAGUAAGUAGAUUUGUGGGAAGUUACUAGGCCGGAUUCAUGCUCGGUUGCUCGACGACGGACCACAUUUUUACACUGCGACAGAUCCUCCAAAAGUGCCACGAGUUUCAGGUCGCAUCACAUCUUCGUUGACUUCAAGGCCGCAUAUUAUACAAUCGACCGACGACAGUUAUGGAGGAUUAUGGAUGAACACGGCUUUCCUCGGAAGUUGGCAAGACUGAUUCAGGCAUCGAUGAACGGUGUGCGAUGCAGUGUGCGGAUCUCAGGUGAGCUGUCGGAAUCAUUUGAUACACACAGGGAACUUCGACAAGACGAUGGACUCUCUUGUCUGUUCUUCAACGUGGUGCUGGAAGGUGUUAUGCGGAGAGCGGGCUUCAACAUGCGGGGCACGAUUUUUUAGUCAGUCAGUUCUAGUCUAGUCAGUUUAUCUGCUUCGCCGACGACGUGGACAUAAUCGGAAGAACACAUGCGACGACAUGCCGACUUGUAUACCUGACUGAAACACGAUGCAGGACUGAUUGGGCUUGGGAUCUAUGCGUCUAAGACUAAAUACAUGCUAGCAGGAGGAACUGAUCGCAACAGAGUUUUUCUUGGUAGUAGUGUUAUGAUCGACGGCGACGAGCUCGAGGUGGUAGAGGAAUUUGUCUACCUUGGCUCGUUGAUAACAAUUGACAACAACAAUAGCCGUAAAGUUCGAAGACGCAUAGUCAAUGGAAGUAGUACCCCGUACGAAGGUUAUCAUGUACAAAUCCCUAAUUCGAUCGGUUGUUUUCUAUGGACACGAAGCAUGGACGAUGCUUGAAGAGAACAAACAAGCGCUUGUUUUUUUUAGAACGCCGAGUGCUCAUAGCAAUAUACGGUGAUGUACAGGGAAACGGAGUAUGGAGAAGGAGAAUGAACCACGAACAGGCGCAACUCUACGGCGAACCCAGCAUCCAGAGAGUCGCUAAUGCUGGACGAGUGCUACGUCCAGGGCAUGUUGCAAGAUUGCCGGACAGUAGCCUUGCAAAGAUGGUGUUCGCAUCGAAUCCGGUAGGAACAAGAAGGAGUGGAGCCCAGCGAGCGAGGUGGUUGGACCAGGUGGAGCAGGACUUGGCAAGAAUCGAUGAAGCCGGGAGUUGGAGAACUACAGCCAUGGAUCGGGUUUAUUGGCGAAAAGUUGUGAAUCAUAUUUAGUCUCUCAAUGAGAUAUUGAAUCAUUGUAAAUGGUAACCCAAAAAAAAGCCAAGCGAACGAUCGUGGGUUCGGCUUUGACUGAUUGGCCUUUUUCAAUACUAGAGGCGAAUGAACUUUGUAGUUUAAAUAGAAAAAAAUCACACACGGAUUGAUGUUCUAACGAAAACAUAUGUAGAACAUUUGAAUUAGCAUGCAAAAAACACGGGGUAGAAAACAGAACAAGAUCAACUUGGAUACAAAUGAAUUACUCACAAAUUUAUUACAUUUUUAAUAUUAAAAAAAUAAAUUUUAAUAUAUAAAUAUUUUUACUGAGUUGUAGGAGAAAUUUUUAACUAAAUUCUUAUUCAUCAAAGAAAUAAUUUCAUCACUAUCUUCC